GACGAACGCUGGCGGCGUGCUUAACACAUGCAAGUCGAACGAAGUGGCGAACGGGUGAGUAACGCGUAAUCAACCUGCCCUUCAGAGGGGGACAACAGUUGGAAACGACUGCUAAUACCGCAUACUGAAGGAGGGGAUUGCGUGUGAUUAGCUGGUUGGAGGGGUAACGGCCCACCAAGGCGUUGAUCAGUAGCCGGUCUGAGAGGAUGAACGGCCACAUUGGGGCUGAGACACGGCCCAGGCUCCGACGGGAGGGAGCAGUGGGGAAUCUUCCGGAAUGGACGAAAGUCUGACGGAGCAAAGCCGGGGGAGUGAUGAAGGCCUUCGGGUUGUAAAGCUCUGUUAAUCGGGACGCGGUAACGGAAGAGAAAGCAACGGCUAACUACGUGCCAGCCGCCGCGGUAAUUC
rnacentral:rRNA from 1 species